rnacentral:rRNA from 1 species
UGAGUAACCUGCCCUUAACUCUGGGAUAAGCCUGGGAAACUGGGUCUAAUACCGGAUAUGACUCCUCAUCGCAUGGUGGGGGGUGGAAAGCUUUUUGUGGUUUUGGAUGGACUCGCGGCCUAUCAGCUUGUUGGUGAGGUAAUGGCCCACCAAGGCGACGACGGGUAGCCGGCCUGAGAGGGUGACCGGCCACACUGGGACUGAGACACGGCCCAGACCUCCUACGGGAGGCAG